AUUGAACGCUGGCGGCAUGCCUUACACAUGCAAGUCGAACGGCAGCACGGGUGCUUGCACCUAGUGGCGAGUGGCGAACGGGUGAGUAAUACAUCGGAACAUGUCCUGUAGUGGGGGAUAGCCCGGCGAAAGCCGGAUUAAUACCGCAUACGAUCUACGGAUGAAAGCGGGGGACCUUCGGGCCUCGCGCUAUAGGGUUGGCCGAUGGCUGAUUAGCUAGUUGGGGGGGUAAAGGCCUACCAAGGCGACGAUCAGUAGCUGGUCUGAGAGGACGACCAGCCACACUGGGGCUGAGACACGGCCCAGACUCCUACGGGAGGCAGCAGUGGGGAAUUUUGGACAAUGGGCGAGAGCCUGAUCCAGCAAUGCCGCGUGUGUGAAGAAGGCCUUCGGGUUGUAAAGCACUUUUGUCCGGAAAGAAAUCCUUGGCUCUAAUACAGUCGGGGGAUGACGGUACCGGAAGAAUAAGCACCGGCUAACUACGUGCCAGCAGCCGCGGUAA
rnacentral:rRNA from 1 species